GGUGCGGUACCCAAGAGGUAAGGGAGCAGUCUGCAAAACUGUUAUUUCGUCGGUUCGAUUCCGACCCGCACCU
rnacentral:tRNA from 1 species